rnacentral:rRNA from 1 species
CCAGACAACCAGGAGGUUGGCUUAGAAGCAGCCACCCUUUAAAGAGUGCGUAAUAGCUCACUGGUCAAGUGGUCCUGCGCCGACAAUGUAGCGGGGCUCAAGCGCACCGCCGAAGCCGUGGCAACAUCAUUUGAGAUCCGCUUACAUCUUUUGGGGUGUGGGUGUAGUCGUGGUGUUGGGUAGGGGAGCGUCGUGCAUCCGGUGAAGCUUCGGGGUGACCCAGGGGUGGAGGGUGUGCGAGUGAGAAUGCAGGCAUGAGUAGCGAAUGCAGAGUGAGAACCUCUGCCGCCGAAUGACCAAGGGUUCCUGGGCCAGGUUAAUCCGCCCAGGGUGAGCCGGGACCUAAGGCGAGGCCGACAGGCGUAGUCGAUGGACAACGGGUUGAUAUUCCCGUGCCCGUGAUAGUGCGCCCGUGCUGGGGCCGGUGAUGCUAACCAUCCGAACCCGCCUGUGAUCCCUUCGGGGUGAUCGGGGUCGGGGGAGCGUGGGAUCCGAUCCGGUAGUAGGCAAGCGAUGGGGUGACGCAGGAGGGUAGUCCCGCCAGGCGGUGGUAGUCCUGGUGUAAGCCUGUAGCCCGACAUCCAGGUAAAUCCGGGUGUCGUGAAGGGUGAGAGGUGACGCGUAGCCGAUUGAGGCGAAGUAGGAUGAUCCCAUGCUGUCGAGAAAAGCCUCUAGCGAGUGCUGUUGCGGCCCGUACCCUAAACCGACACAGGUGGUCAGGUAGAGAAUACUAAGGCGAUCGAGUGAACUGUGGUUAAGGAACUCGGCAAAAUGCCCCCGUAACUUCGGGAGAAGGGGGGCCGGUUGCUCUGAAGCUCUUCGCGAGCUAGGGGUGGCCGGCCGCAGAGACCAGGCCCAAGCGACUGUUUACUAAAAACACAGGUCCGUGCGAAGUCGCAAGACGAUGUAUACGGACUGACGCCUGCCCGGUGCUGGAACGUUAAGAGGACCUGUUAGUCCCUUUGGGGGCGAAGCGGAGAAUUUAAGCGCCAGUAAACGGCGGUGGUAACUAUAACCAUCCUAAGGUAGCGAAAUUCCUUGUCGGGUAAGUUCCGACCUGCACGAAUGGCGUAACGACUUGGGCGCUGUCUCGACCACAGACUCGGCGAAAUUGCACUACGAGUAAAGAUGCUCGUUACGCGCGGCAGGACGGAAAGACCCCGGGACCUUUACUAUAGCUUGGUAUUGGUGCUCGGUUCGGCUUGUGUAGGAUAGGUGGGAGACUGUGAAGUGGCCACGCUAGUGGUUGUGGAGUCAUUGUUGAAAUACCACUCUGGUCGAAUUGGGUGUCUCAACCUCGGGCCAUGAUCUGGUUCAGGGACAGUGCCUGGUGGGUAGUUUAACUGGGGCGGUUGCCUCCCAAAAUGUAACGGAGGCGCCCAAAGGUUCCCUCAGCCUGGUUGGCAAUCAGGUGUUGAGUGUAAGUGCACAAGGGAGCUUGACUGUGAGACUGACAGGUCGAGCAGGGACGAAAGUCGGGACUAGUGAUCCGGCACCACCUUGUGGAAGGGGUGUCGCUCAACGGAUAAAAGGUACCCCGGGGAUAACAGGCUGAUCUUGCCCAAGAGUCCAUAUCGACGGCAUGGUUUGGCACCUCGAUGUCGGCUCGUCGCAUCCUGGGGCUGGAGUAGGUCCCAAGGGUUGGGCUGUUCGCCCAUUAAAGCGGUACGCGAGCUGGGUUUAGAACGUCGUGAGACAGUUCGGUCCCUAUCCGCCGCGCGCGCAGGAGACUUGAGGAAGGCUGUCCCUAGUACGAGAGGACCGGGACGGACGAACCUCUGGUGUGCCAGUUGUCCCGCCAGGGGCAUGGCUGGUUGGCUAUGUUCGGAAGGGAUAACCGCUGAAGGCAUCUAAGCGGGAAGCCUGUUCCAAGAUGAGGUCUCCCACCACCUUGCGUGGUUAAGGCCCCCAGCAGACCACUGGGUUGAUAGGCCAGAGAUGGAAGCCCUGUGAGGGGUGGAGUUGACUGGUACUAAUAGGCCGAGGGCUUGUUCAUG